rnacentral:rRNA from 1 species
UACGUAGGGUGCGAGCGUUGUCCGGAAUUAUUGGGCGUAAAGGGCUCGUAGGCGGUUUGUCGCGUCGGGAGUGAAAUCCACUGGCUUAACUGGUGGCUUGCUUUCGAUACGGGCAGACUGGAGGUAUGCAGGGGAGAACGGAAUUCCUGGUGUAGCGGUGAAAUGCGCAGAUAUCAGGAGGAACACCGGUGGCGAAGGCGGUUCUCUGGGCAUUACCUGACGCUGAGGAGCGAAAGCAUGGGGAGCGAACAGG